rnacentral:rRNA from 1 species
AUACGUCCUACGGGAGAAAGGGGGCUUCGGCUCCCGCUAUUGGAUGAGCCUAUGUCGGAUUAGCUAGUUGGUGAGGUAAAGGCUCACCAAGGCAACGAUCCGUAGCUGGUCUGAGAGGAUGAUCAGCCACAUCGGGACUGAGACACGGCCCGAACUCCUACGGGAGGCAGCAGUGGGGAAUAUUGGACAAUGGGGGCAACCCUGAUCCAGCCAUGCCGCGUGUGUGAAGAAGGCCCUCGGGUUGUAAAGCACUUUCAGCGAGGAAGAACGCCUAGCGGUUAAUACCCGUUAGGAAAGACAUCACUCGCAGAAGAAGCACCGGCUAACUCCGCGCCAGCAGCCGCGGUAAUACGGAGGGUGCAAGCGUUAAUCGGAAUUACUGGGCGUAAAGCGCGCGUAGGUGGCUUGAUAAGCCGGUUGUGAAAGCCCCGGGCUCAACCUGGGAACGGCAUCCGGAACUGUCAGGCUAGAGUGCAGGAGAGGAAGGUAGAAUUCCCGGUGUAGCGGUGAAAUGCGUAGAGAUCGGGAGGAAUACCAGUGGCGAAGGCGGCCUUCUGGACUGACACUGACACUGAGGUGCGAAAGCGUGGGUAGCAAACAGGAUUAGAUACCCUGGUAGUCCACGCCGUAAACGAUGUCGACCAGCCGUUGGGUGCCUAGAGCACUUUGUGGCGAAGUUAACGCGAUAAGUCGACCGCCUGGGGAGUACGGCCGCAAGGUUAAAACUCAAAUGAAUUGACGGGGGCCCGCACAAGCGGUGGAGCAUGUGGUUUAAUUCGAUGCAACGCGAAGAACCUUACCUGCCCUUGACAUCUACAGAAGCCGGAAGAGAUUCUGGUGUGCCUUCGGGAACUGUAAGACAGGUGCUGCAUGGCUGUCGUCAGCUCGUGUUGUGAAAUGUUGGGUUAAGUCCCGUAACGAGCGCAACCCUUGUCCUUAUUUGCCAGCACGUAAUGGUGGGAACUCUAAGGAGACUGCCGGUGACAAACCGGAGGAAGGUGGGGACGACGUCAAGUCAUCAUGGCCCUUACGGGUAGGGCUACACACGUGCUACAAUGGCCGGUACAAAGGGCUGCGAGCUCGCGAGAGUCAGCGAAUCCCUUAAAGCCGGUCUCAGUCCGGAUCGGAGUCUGCAACUCGACUCCGUGAAGUCGGAAUCGCUAGUAAUCGUGAAUCAGAAUGUCACGGUGAAUACGUUCCCGGGCCUUGUACACACCGCCCGUCA